rnacentral:rRNA from 1 species
UAGAGUUUGAUCCUGGCUCAGGACGAACGGCUGGCGGCGUGCUUAACACAUGCAAGUCGAACGAUGAAGCCUAGCUUGCUAGGUGGAUUAGUGGCGAACGGGUGAGUAAUACGUGAGUAACCUACCUUUAACUCUGGGAUAAGCCUGGGGAAACUGGGUCUAAUACCGGAUACGACCAAUCUCCGCAUGGGGUGUUGGUGGAAAGCGUUAUGUAGUGGUUAUAGAUGGGCUCACGGCCUAUCAGCUUGUUGGUGAGGUAACGGCUCACCAAGGCGACGACGGGUAGCCGGCCUGAGAGGGUGACCGGCCACACUGGGACUGAGACACGGCCCAGACUCCUACGGGAGGCAGCAGUGGGGAAUUUUCCGCAAUGGGCGAAAGCCUGACGGAGCAAUGCCGCGUGGAGGUGGAAGGCCUACGGGUCGUCAACUUCUUUUCUCGGAGAAGAAACAAUGACGGUAUCUGAGGAAUAAGCAUCGGCUAACUCUGUG